AGCCCAGGGUGUGAUCAGAACGCUUUCUGGGCCGACCGCCUGGCGUUAGCGAGGAGGCAUUCAUGACUAACCGGGAGAAAACCGCCAGUUCGCUGCAUGCGGCUUGGCCGACUGGGCACGCCAGAAGAAGUAGCUCGCUGCAUCGCCUUCCUGGCGUCCGACGAUGCGGCAUUUGUCACGGGCAUCACGAUGCCUAUUGAUGGCGGCUCGCUACUUCUGUCCAGCGUCUCGGGCGCCGCCCAAGGGAAGGGUGCCCAGAAUACUGCAUGAGCUGCCAAGGACGUAGCCUUGAAUGGCAUUUACCAUGUACCUAGGCUCUCUGCUAAAACAAAGGCAGCAGAGUGGUGACAUUCCUUCUCACGCCAAUAUUUUCUAUCUCUUAAUUACACCAUCUUAAUUCAAACUCAUCCAAAAGCGCAUUCACGUGGUUUCCCCUCAAAGUCACUAUACAAAUAGAACUUUCACGCAAGGCACUCACUUUUGGAACAAGGAGGUAUUCACUAAAAGUUAACUUGUGAAUAAGUACAUCAUAUAAUACAGUCUUGAGAACAGCGGUACCAACAGUCAGCACUUUCAACAUAAGAAAGAAUUAAAUUUUGACGUGGCUGUAGAACACGUGUCGCCUUGAUUAGUUGUGUGGUUCUGUACGGAACAAGAGUCCAACAUUCUUUCCUUACCCUUAUUUUUCGCAGUACCUCCACCACGUCAGCUUCACAUAGCGUUGCUGUCGCAUGUAGCCGCUUGAAGGCUCCCGAGCUUGUUACAAGUAUUAGGGGCGAAGCUCCUUAACGUGGCUGUAGAGCACGUGUCGCCUUGAUUAAUUGUGUGGUUCUGUACAGAGCAAGAGUCCAACAUUCUUUCCUUACCCUUAUUUUUUGCGGUGCCUCCACCACGUCAGCUUCACAUAGCGUUGCUGUCGCAUGUAGCCGCUUGAAGGCUCCCGAGCUUGUUACAAGUUUUAGGGGCGAAGCUC